GUGUGUGUUGAGUGAAGAAAUUCCUACUAUUCUAUUGGCAUAUCACAAUAAUACAUGUAGGAGUCACUUUUGGGAAGCUUUGACUGACCAAAAAAUCCUUAGAGUUGACUAUUAUUGAUCCAUAUUAUUUCAAGACAUUCAUAGAUAUAUCAAAAUAUGUGACGCAUGUCAAUGGUAUGUUAGGAAUAACUUAAGGAUGAGUCUCCUCUUCCAUAUAUCUUUAUCUUUAGUUUCUAUUAAAAAAUAGAAAAUUCAUUAUAUUGAAGAAGUUCAUUUCAAUUCUACUAAUGGUAUUAAACACAUAGAAGUAGCCAUCAAGUACUUGAACAAAUGGACUAAAGUAAAGAUAGUUAAAGCAAAUGAUUCCAAA
rnacentral:lncRNA from 1 species